rnacentral:rRNA from 1 species
AUUCCAGCUCCAAUAGCGUAUAUUAAAGUUGUUGCAGUUAAAAAGCUCGUAGUUGGAUUUCUGUUCUCGAGGAUCGGUCCGCCUCACGGUGAGCACUGGUUUUUCUUGGGGACAUCCUCUCGAAGGCGGGUGGUGCACUUAAUUGUGUGCUGCUUGGAUUCGGGACCUUUACUUUGAAAAAAUUAGAGUGUUCAAAGCAGGCGUCGGCUUGAAUACAUUAGCAUGGAAUAAUGGAAUAGGACUUUGGUUCUAUUUUGUUGGUUUCUAGGACCGAAGUAAUGAUUAAUAGGGACAGUUGGGGGCAUUUGUAUUCAAACGACAGGGGUGAAAUUCUUGGACCGUUUGAAGACAAACUACUGCGAAAGCAUUUGCCAAGAAUGUUUUCAUUA